rnacentral:misc_RNA from 1 species
UGGAAGAUGACGUGAUCGAGAAAGAAGGUAAUGGUUGCUAAUUCCUGUUUAGUAGGAUGCGUUUGAUGUUUGAUAAGAAAGGCCAGUAGAUACGAUCUAUGUAUAGUUGUAAAAAAAAAUAUUUUUAGCAGUGACCAUAAAUGAAUUUAACAAACAAAACGUACGUAUUCAGAUUAUUCAGAACUAAAUUUUAAAGAUUUUAGAUUUCAAGCGAAGAAGUGGAGACUCACACUUAAAAGAUAAGUCACUUAUUUAUAUUUCCUCUCACAGGUGAGAAGUGGGUACGAGAUAAAAUUUACCUGUGGAACCGUCGUCAUGGCGUCAGAACCUUCUUGUCUGACGUCAGCAUCAACCUCAUCAUGGCAGCUAUCUACAUGACCCGGAUGUAAACGAUGGAAACGAGGCGCCACAUGACAAUGUUGACAUGAUAGAAUUUGAAAGUAUGAUUAAGGGAUCUUGAAUGAAUGUUUUAAGAUUUGAAGCAGAAUAAUUAUAGUGAGUGUACGCGCAUGUGAGUAAUGUUUGUGAAUUUGUUUAUGAUAAAUAACGUGCUGAUUGCGCAUGUUAGACUGUUUAAAGCUUUUAAUUAAUUGAUAUAAAAACGUUCCUGUAUUUUUUAUACAAUGGCUUAUACUUAUUUGUCAUUUUGUAUACAGUUUUUAAUAAAGUUGGAAAAACU